AGAGAAAGUAUAUUUCCAGCAGUUCUAAAAACUUCCAAAGUUGUACCGGUUUUUAAGAAAGGAGAUCCGAAUGACAUCAGUAAUUAUAGACCUAUUUCUCUAGUGCCUAUCUUAGCAAAGGUUUUUGAGUUUAUUUUAAAAAAGCAAAUCAACUCGUAUUUUGAGAAUAAUAGUCUCUACUCGCAGUUCCAAUUUGGUUUUAGAUGCAAUCACUCAACAUCCCUAGCUAUUAACUACCUUAGUGAAAAAAUUUUGUCUAGUUUUGAAAAUAAGGAAAAUACCUAUGUUUGCUGUUUGGACUUAAUAAAAGCAUUUGAUUGUGUUGAGCAUGGUAUAUUGUUACAAAAAUUAAAAUCAUAUGGAUUCUGUGUCAGAAGUAUUAGUUUGAUGAAUUCAUACUUAAUAAAUAGAUGUCAGUUCGUUUCUGCUCACAAUAUUAAUUCCAAUAAAAUGGAAAUUAAAUUUGGUGUACCGCAAGGAUCGGUCCUAGGACCGACUCUAUUUCUCAUCUUUAUAAAUGACCUGCCACUUUCUAUUAAAGAUACUAAUUUCUUACUGUUUGCUGACGACACCACUAUCUAUGGCGCUUUUGAUUUAAAAGAGGCUCUGGAUCACAUAAAAACUUGUGUUGAAACCAAAAUUAAAGACUGGUUUAUUGGUAACAAACUUACCGUUAAUUGUGCCAAAACUCAAGAAAUUAUUUUUUCCUUAAACAAAUCAUUUAUUACCCCUUCUUAUAUUAAGCUGUUAGGUGUUUUUCUGGAUUGUGGAUUGACUUGGGAAACUCAUUGCGACUACUUAGUUACUAAACUUUCUAAAAAAUUGUUCUUGUUUAGGCAGUUGGUAUUCGCGAAUCCAGAUAACUGAAGAGCGCCUCUAGCGGCCGUUUCUGAAACUAGUCUAAUGCGGAUAGCUGACAACAGCUACAACUGUGUUUAUACGGUGUGCCUUGUAAUUAAGAAGACAAAGUUGCUUUAAUUGCUAUUAUUUUUUGUCUAUUUCAAAAAUUAGCUUCAAAAUGCCACCUUUAAAGUCCAAUAACAGAAACUGUUGUGUUUUUAAUUGUUUUUCGAGAGCAGGACGUGAAAUAGACUUAAGUUUCCACAGUUUCCCGAAGCCUAACGAAAGGAAAGUAGCAGUUACAAACAAAUAUGGUACUGUAGAGUUUGUUGACAGACGAAAAGCUUGGGAAAAAUGUGUAAGGUCGAAUAAAAAAAUUUCACAAUACAUGAAAGUAUGCUCUUUGCACUUUAAAGAAACCGAUUUUUUUCCUCCACUUCCCUGUGGUGUAUGUAAAAAGGAAACGCACAGUUUUAAAAAACACCGCCAUUCCAUCUCUACAUUUGCCAAGUGGAAGCCAUGAACAGCAAGUUGCAACAAGAAAACCAAGACAAAAUUUUUCGACUCGGUUGUUAGAAGAUUCAAAUGAAGAAUUGUGUCAAAUUAGUGAAAACAUUUUGGGUGAGAACUUAAUUACCGGAGUUCAAGAUGCUGAAGUUGCAGAAAAUGUCACUCCUAAAAUGGUUCAAAAAUCUACAAAAGAUGUGGGUGUGCAGGUUGAUUUGCUAACUUUCUCUGAACCAUUCAUUAAUUUAAUUGAUACCGAUAGUAAAGUUAAUACUUUAACGGGAGUUAACAGCUCAAGAUUAUUGGAUUCCAUUGUAGAGUGUGUGGAUAAAACCCACAAAAAAAAGAGACUCGGCAGAUUUAGCGGUAGAGAAAGAGUGAUUUUGACUUUGAUGAAGUUAAAGUGUAAUAUGGCAUUUGCUAUGUUAGCCAUAUUUUUUCGUACUUCUCCAUCAAACUGUAAAACUACAUUUAAAGAAACUAUCUCCGAGUUGUGUGCGGUUAUGAGUUCUGUAAUUGUGUUUCCACCAAAAGAAGAAAUUCAAAAAAAUAUGCCUAAAUGUUUUAAAGGUUUUGAAAAUGUUCGUGUUGUUGUAGACUGUACUGAGGUAGGAGUUAAUAUUAGAAAAUGUUUAUGUUGUCGGAUAAAAACUUACUCACAUUACAAAUCUAAGCAGACUAUAAAAUUUAUGACUGGAGUAAGUCCUGGGGGCCUAAUCACUUUUGUAAGUAAAGCAUAUGGGGGAAGAGCAUCUGAUAAGACAAUUUUUGAACAGAGUGAAUUAAUUAAAUUGUUAACCCCUGCCGAAGAUGCAAUAAUGGUAGAUAAAGGGUUUCUUAUAGACGAUAUCGCAAAAACAAAUUUUAUUCAAGUUUUUCGACCACCCUUUUUAAGAAAGAAAUCUCAAUUUAAUCAACCAGAAGCGAAUUUAACAAGGAGAAUUGCUUGCGCUAGAGUACAUGUUGAACGGGUUAAUCAAAGAAUAAAACUAUUUGCUAUAUUAAAUAAUCAAAUUCACAGCCACAUGCUUCCUUAUAUUGAUUCAAUUAUUGUAACCAUUUGUGGUUUGGUUAACUUGUCAGCGCCUAUUUUGGCUGAAGACAAAUUUAUGUAAUUAUUUUUAAAUAAAGAAAACAAACAA